rnacentral:SRP_RNA from 1 species
CCGUGCUAGACGGGGAGGUAGCGGUGCCCUGUACCCGCAAUCCGCUAUAGCGGGGUCGAAUUCCCUCCCGAGGUUCCCCCGUUUUGGACUGAGCCUCGCGGGGAGGCGAUGAAGGCUGGGCCCCGCGCGACGGGAACCUGUGAACCCCGCCAGGCCCGGAAGGGAGCAACGGUCAACAGGCCCUCCCGUGUGCCGCGGGAUCCCCUGGCCGGAGCCGACCCCUCGGGGAGAUCGCAGGGCGGGCGGGAUCGACGGAGGGUGCACGG